rnacentral:rRNA from 2 species
ACGGAUAUAUUUAGCUUCGCAUGAAGCAAUAGUGAAAGACGGUUCUGCUGUCACUUAUAGAUGGACCCGCGGUGUAUUAGCURGUUGGUGAGGUAACGGCUCACCAAGGCAACGAUACAUAGCCGACCUGAGAGGGUGAUCGGCCACACUGGGACUGAGACACGGCCCAGACUCCUACGGGAGGCAGCAGUAGGGAAUCUUCCGCAAUGGACGAAAGUCUGACGGAGCAACGCCGCGUGAGUGAAGAAGGUUUUCGGAUCGUAAAACUCUGUUGUAAGGGAAGAACAAGUACGUUAGUAACUGAACGUACCUUGACGGUACCUUACCAGAAAGCCACGGCUAACUACGUGCCAGCAGCCGCGGUAAUA